UACUGAAUUUCAUGUGGGC
rnacentral:miRNA from 1 species